UACAGAGGUCCCAAGCGUUGUUCGGAUUCAUUGGGCGUAAAGGGUGCGUAGGCGGCGCGGUAAGUCGGGUGUGAAAUCUCGGAGCUUAACUCCGAAACUGCAUUCGAUACUGCCGUGCUUGAGGACUGGAGAGGAGACUGGAAUUUACGGUGUAGCGGUGAAAUGCGUAGAGAUCGGAAAGAACACCAACGGCGAAAGCACUCUGCUGGGCCGACACUGACACUGAGAGAUGAAAGCUAGGGGAGCGAAUGGG
rnacentral:rRNA from 1 species